CGUAGGAGGCUAGCGUUAUCCGGAUUUAUUGGGCGUAAAAGCGCGUGCAGGCGGUUUAUCAAGUUGGAUGUGAAAGCUCCUGGCUUAACUGGGAGAGGUCGUUCAAAACUGAUAGACUAGAGAAUGGUAGAGGGAGGUGGAAUUCCGGGUGUAGUGGUGAAAUGCGUAGAUAUCCGGAGGAACACCAGUGGCGAAAGCGGCCUCCUGGGCCAUUUCUGACGCUAAGACGCGAAAGCUAGGGUAGCAAACGGGAUUAGAGACCCCGGUAGUCCUAGCCGUAAACGAUGUGGACUUGGCGUUGGCGGAGUUAAAUCUGCCAGUGCCGUAGCUAACGCGAUAAGUCCACCGCCUGGGGACUACGACCGCAAGGUUAAAACUCAAAGGAAUUGACGGGGACCCGCACAAGCAGCGGAGCGUGUGGUUUAAUUCGAUGCUACACGAAGAACCUUACCAAGGUUUGACAUGUAAGUGGUAGUGAUCUGAAAAGUGAACGACCCUUCGGGGAGCUUACACAGGUGCUGCAUGGCUGUCGUCAGCUCGUGUCGUGAGAUGUUCGGUUAAGUCCGCUAACGAGCGCAACCCUCACUGUGUGUUACAAGUGUCACACGGGACUGCCGGUUUUAAGCCGGAGGAAGGCGAGGAUGACGUCAAGUCAGCAUGGCCUUUAUAUCUUGGGCUACACACACGCUACAAUGGUCUGUACAAUAGGUUGCCAAGCCGCGAGGCGGAGCCAAUCCUAAAAGCAGGCCUCAGUUCAGAUUGCAGGCUGCAACCCGCCUGCAUGAAGAUGGAGUUGCUAGUAACCGCAGGUCAGCUAUACUGCGGUGAAUACGUUCCCGGGUCUUGUACACACCGCCCGU
rnacentral:rRNA from 1 species